rnacentral:piRNA from 1 species
UUCCUUAAUGAGUUCAGGUUUGCGUG